ACGGAUAACAUACCGAAAGGUAUGCUAAUACGGGAUAAUAUAUUUGAGAGGCAUCUCUUGAAUAUCAAAGGUGAGCCAGCACAGGAUGGACCCGCGUCUGAUUAGCUAGUUGGUAAGGUAAAGGCUUACCAAGGCGACGAUCAGUAGCCGACCUGAGAGGGUGAUCGGCCACAUUGGAACUGAGACACGGUCCAAACUCCUACGGGAGGCAGCAGUGGGGAAUAUUGCACAAUGGGCGAAAGCCUGAUGCAGCAACGCCGCGUGAGUGAUGAAGGCCUUCGGGUCGUAAAACUCUGUCCUCAAGGAAGAUAAUGACGGUACUUGAGGAGGAAGCCCCGGCUAACUACGUGCCAGCAGCCGCGGUAAUACGUAGGGGGCUAGCGUUAUCCGGAUUUACUGGGCGUAAAGGGUGCGUAGGCGGUCUUUCAAGUCAGGAGUGAAAGGCUACGGCUCAACCGUAGUAAGCUCUUGAAACUGGGAGACUUGAGUGCAGGAGAGGAGAGUGGAAUUCCUAGUGUAGCGGUGAAAUGCGUAGAUAUUAGGAGGAACACCAGUUGCGAAGGCGGCUCUCUGGACUGUAACUGACGCUGAGGCACGAAAGCGUGGGGAGCAAACAGGAUUAGAUACCCUGGUAGUCCACGCUGUAAACGAUGAAUAGUAGGUGUCGGGGGUUACCCCCUUCGGUGCCGCAG
rnacentral:rRNA from 1 species